rnacentral:rRNA from 1 species
UGGGGAAUAUUGCACAAUGGGGGAAACCCUGAUGCAGCGACGCCGCGUGAACGAAGAAGGCAUUCGUAUCGUAAAGUUCUUUCCUAUGGGAAGAUAAUGACAGUACUAUAGAAGAAAGCUCCGGCUAAAUACGUGCCAGCAGCCGCGGUAAUACGUAUGGAGCGAGCGUUGUCCGGAAUUAUUGGGCGUAAAGGGUACGCAGGCGGUUUAAUAAGUCGAAUGUUAAAGAUCGGGGCUCAACCCCGCAAAGCAUUGGAAACUGGUAAACUUGAGUAGUGGAGAGGAAAGUGGAAUUCCUAGUGUAGUGGUGAAAAACGUAGAUAUUAGGAGGAAUACCAGUAGCGAAGGCGACUUUCUGGACACAAACUGACGCUGAGGUACGAAAGCGUGGGGAGCAAACAGG